rnacentral:rRNA from 1 species
AAUUAUCCUCAUAAGUUUGACAACAAGAGGUACCACUUUAAUAUUUAUAGUUUGCCUGCCUUGCUUCACCUCUCCCCCUUAUAAAGGGGAGAUUUUUGAGCAUGAAGGGUAGGGUAUUAUAUUUAUUAGAGGGGGUGACACAAAAUCGGAAGCCCCGACUGUUUACUAAAAACAUAGUUCUGUGCAAUCACGAAAGUGGUAGUAUAUGGAAUGAAAUUUGUCCAAUGCCAUAAUAAUAAAAAAGGUCAUAUGAAUAAUGUGAUUACUUGAAAAACUGGUCAAUGACGGUCUUAACCUUGAGGAUCCUAAGGUAGCAUAAUCAGUUGGCCAUUAAAUGUGGUCUGGUAUCAAUAAUGUAACGAUGGCUUCACUGUCUCUACUACUUGCUCAGUGAAAUUGAAUUACGCGUGAAGAUGCGCGUUACUUUCGAAGGGACGGGAAGACCCUAUGCAGCU